AUGCCGGUCAGGCGGUCACAGAGUUUGGUCCUAUCAUUCAAGAGCUAUUCAAACGAAGAAACAAGAAGUUCAAAGAUAUCAAGAUUGAGCAUUCCCGUUGAGGCCAACAAGAGAUUGAAACGCAACAAGAUUGUAAACGAGAAAAAGAGGAUACGUGCAUUCGGUGACACAUACAAAGAAGAACUUGUGACCAUGACUGAGGCCAAAAAAGUGUUGACGACCGAACACAAGGAAGAGAAUACGGGAAGAUGGAACAAGCUCAAGAUGUUGGAGGACGAGAAAUGGAAAUCCAAAUUGGAAGCUGAAGGGAGGAAGUUGAAGGUGGAGGAGCGUAGGCUAGCACUUGAGGAAGAGAGACUUCGAGAUUCCAAGAGAGCCGAGGAUUGUGAUAUCAUGUUCAUGAACCCAACCACAAUGAAUGAUACCGCAAGAAAAUAUUGA
rnacentral:rRNA from 1 species